rnacentral:ncRNA from 2 species
CGCAUAGUUUAGGGGUGCCCCACCAUCGGCCACGAUGCCGUGGGGCUGAGAUCAUACCCAUUGAACCUGAUCCGGGUAAUGCCGGCGAAGGGAACAAACGAUCCGCGAACGU